rnacentral:rRNA from 1 species
GACGAACCGUACGAACGUUAUUCGGAAUUACUGGGCUUAAAGGGUGCGUAGGCGGCGCAGUAAGUUGGGUGUGAAAUCCCUCGGCUUAACCGAGGAAUUGCGCCCAAAACUACUGUGCUCGAGGGAGAUAGAGGUGAGCGGAACUUAGGGUGGAGCGGUGAAAUGCGUUGAUAUCCUAAGGAACACCGGUGGCGAAAGCGGCUCACUGGAUCUCUUCUGACGCUGAGGCACGAAAGCUAGGGUAGCGAACGGG